AUUAAACGCUGGCGGCAUGCCUUACACAUGCAAGUCGAACGGCAGCACGGGGGCAACCCUGGUGGCGAGUGGCGGACGGGUGAGUAAAGCAUCGGAACGUAUCCUGGAGUGGGGGAUAACGUAGCGAAAGUUACGCUAAUACCGCAUAUUCUGUGAGUAGGAAAGCAGGGGAUCGCAAGACCUUGCGCUCUGGGAGCGGCCGAUGUCGGAUUAGCUAGUUGGUGGGGUAAAGGCCUACCAAGGCGACGAUCCGUAGCGGGUCUGAGAGGAUGAUCCGCCACACUGGGACUGAGACACGGCCCAGACUCCUACGGGAGGCAGCAGUGGGGAAUUUUGGACAAUGGGCGCAAGCCUGAUCCAGCCAUGCCGCGUGAGUGAAGAAGGCCU
rnacentral:rRNA from 1 species